UACGAAGGGGGCUAGCGUUGCUCGGAAUCACUGGGCGUAAAGGGUGCGUAGGCGGGUCUUUAAGUCAGGGGUGAAAUCCUGGAGCUCAACUCCAGAACUGCCUUUGAUACUGAGGAUCUUGAGUUCGGGAGAGGUGAGUGGAACUGCGAGUGUAGAGGUGAAAUUCGUAGAUAUUCGCAAGAACACCAGUGGCGAAGGCGGUGUUCUGGGCCGGAACUGACGCUGAGGAGCGAAAGCGUGGGUAGCAAACAGG
rnacentral:rRNA from 1 species